UGGGGAAUAUUGCACAAUGGGCGCAAGCCUGAUGCAGCCAUGCCGCGUGUAUGAAGAAGGCCUACGGGUUGUAAAGUACUUUCAGCGGGGAGGAAGGCGAUGCGGUUAAUAACCGCGUCGAUUGACGUUACCCGCAGAAGAAGCACCGGCUAACUCCGUGCCAGCAGCCGCGGUAAUACGGAGGGUGCAAGCGUUAAUCGGAAUUACUGGGCGUAAAGCGCACGCAGGCGGUCUGUCAAGUCGGAUGUGAAAUCCCCGGGCUCAACCUGGGAACUGCAUCCGAAACUGGCAGGCUUGAGUCUCGUAGAGGGGGGUAGAAUUCCAGGUGUAGCGGUGAAAUGCGUAGAGAUCUGGAGGAAUACCGGUGGCGAAGGCGGCCCCCUGGACGAAGACUGACGCUCAGGUGCGAAAGCGUGGGGAGCAAACA
rnacentral:rRNA from 1 species